rnacentral:rRNA from 1 species
GACGAACGCUGGCGGCGUGACUAAUACAUGCAAGUCGAGCGGACAGAAGGGAGCUUGCUCCCGGAAGUUAGCGGCGGACGGGUGAGUAACACGUGGGCAACCUAUCCUGUAGAUCGGGAUAAAAUCGAGAAAUCGGUGCUAAUACCGGAUAAUCGUUUGAAGUGCAUGCUUCGAAUGUAAAAGAUGGCUCCGGCUAUCACUACGGAAUGGGACCGCGGCGCAUUAGCUAGUUGGUAAGGUAAUGGCUUACCAAGGCAAGGAUGCGUAGCCGACCGAGGAGGGUGAUCGGCCACACUGGGACUGAGAAACAGCCCAGACUCCAACGGGAGGCAACAAUAGGGAAUCUUCCGCAAGGGACGAAAGUCUGACGGAGCAACGCCGCGGGAGUGAUGAAGGUUUUCGGAGCGUAAAGCUCUGUUGUGAGGGAAGAACAAGGGCCGUUUGAAUAAGGCGUCACCUUGACGGUACCUAACCAGAAAGCCACGGCUAACUACGUGCCAGCAGCCGCGGUAAGAC